AAAAAGACAAACCAUGGGUUUCCGUGUGUAAUAUUUGACUGUCCGUCUUAUAUGAAAUUUUUUUAUAAUUAGUAUUUUCAUUGUUGUUAGAUGAUAAAACAUGAUUAAUACUUUAUGCGUGACUUAUCUUUUAAAUUUUUUUCAUAAUUUUUUAAAUAAAACAGACGAUCAAAUGUUGGACACGGAAACC
rnacentral:pre_miRNA from 1 species